GCCUGUUUAUUAAAAACAUGGUUUUUUGUAAAUGAUUUAAAAUCUGAUCUGCUCACUGAAAUUUAAAUAGCUGCAGUAAUUUGACUGUACGAAGGUAGCAUAAUAAUUAGUUAUUUAAUUGGUAACUAGAAUGAAUGGUUGGACAAAGUAUAAGCUGUCUUUAUAUUAAUUUUAAAGAAAUUUAUUUUUGAGUCAAAAAGCUUAAAUAUAAUUAAAAGACGAGAAGACCCUAUAGAAUUUUAUAUAAUUUUAUUUAUUAAUUUAAAGUAAUUAAUAUUAAUAUUUAAAUAAUAUUUUAUUGGGGCGAUAAAAAAAUUUAAUAAACUUUUUUAUAAUUAAAACAUUGAUGAAUGUUAAAUUGAUUCAAUAAUAUUGAUUAAUAGAAUAAAUUACCUUAGGGAUAACAGCGUAAUUUUUUUAAAAGUUCAUAUUGAAUUAAAAGAUUGCGACCUCGAUGUUGGAUUAAAAUAAAAAUUAGGUGUAGAAGCUUAAUGAUUAGGUCUGUUCGACCUUUAAAAUUUUACAUGAUCUGAGUUCAGACCGG
rnacentral:rRNA from 1 species